rnacentral:rRNA from 1 species
CUGUUCAAUGAUUAUAAAUUAAAUAAUUGCAGUAUUUUAACUGUGCAAAGGUAGCAAAAUCAUUUGUUUUUUAAUUGAAAACUGGAAUGAAAGAUUGAAUGAAAAAUUAACUUUUUUAAAAUUAAUAAAAGAAUUUAAGUUUAAAAUAAAAAAUUUUUAAUAGAUUUAAAAGACGAUAAGACCCUAUAAAAUUUAAUAUUUUUUUAAUAAUUAUUUUUUAAAAUAAAUUUUUAUUAAAAAUUUAUUUAAUUGGGGUGAUUAAAAAAUUUAAAAAACUUUUUUUAUAAAAAUAAAUUAAAAUUUUUUAUUAAAAAUAAUUAUAUUUAUUUUUAAAUUAAAUUACUUUAGGGAUAACAGCAUAAUAUUUUUAAAUAGUUCAAAUUGAUAAAAAUGAUUAUGACCUCGAUGUUGAAUUAAAAAAAAUGUAUAUAGAAAAAAAUAUAUAAU